GGUUACUGCUAUCGGUGUUCGCUUAAGCCAUGCGAGUCAUAUGUUCUUCGGAACAUGGCGUACUGCUCAGUAACACGUGGAUAACCUGCCCUUGGGUCCGGCAUAACCCCGGGAAACUGGGGAUAAUUCCGGAUAACGCACAUAUGCUGGAAUGCUUUAUGCGUCAAAUGGAUUCGUCCGCCCAAGGAUGGGUCUGCGGCCUAUCAGGUAGUAGUGGGUGUAAUGUACCUACUAGCCUACGACGGGUACGGGUUGUGAGAGCAAGAGCCCGGAGAUGGAUUCUGAGACAUGAAUCCAGGCCCUACGGGGCGCAGCAGGCGCGAAAACUUUACAAUGCGGGAAACCGUGAUAAGGGGACACCGAGUGCCAGCAUCAUAUGCUGGCUGUCCGGGUGUGUAAAAUACACCUGUUAGCAAGGGCCGGGCAAGACCGGUGCCAGCCGCCGCGGUAACACCGGCGGCCCGGGUGGUGAUCGUGAUUAUUGGGUCUAAAGGGUCCGUAGCCGGUUUGGCCAGUCCUCCGGGAAAUCUGACGGCUUAACCGUUAGGCUUUCGGGGGAUACUGCCAGACUUGGAACCGGGAGAGGUAAGAGGUACUACAGGGGUAGGAGUGAAAUCUUGUAAUCCCUGUAGGACCACCUGUGGCGAAGGCGUCUUACCAGAACGGGUUCGACGGUGAGGGACGAAAGCUGGGGGCACGAACCGGAUUAGAUACCCGGGUAGUCCCAGCCGUAAACGAUGCUCGCUAGGUGUCAGGCAUGGCGCGACCGUGUCUGGUGCCGCAGGGAAGCCGUGAAGCGAGCCACCUGGGAAGUACGGCCGCAAGGCUGAAACUUAA
rnacentral:rRNA from 1 species